AGCAACUGAAGGAAUGGAUGGUGUGGCGUCUCCAUGGGACUUCAACUGCAACUUGGAAGUAGAUCUUGGGUCUGAAGAAAAUGCUCAUAUUGUCUAUACUGCAUUGGCUGUUGAUAAGGAGUUGCAGCCUGAUAAAGUGAAGAGGCAUAUGUCUGUAUCUAACGGGAAGCUUUCAGUGAAUUUUGAGGCUGUUGAAGCAAGAUUUCUUCGUGCAUCAUUUAGUGCAUUUGUAGAUGUACUCACACUCACAACAAAAACCAUUGAAGAAUUUGGUUCAAAGAAGGAAUAGAGACCUCUAUUGGAUAUUUUUAGACAUUGUUCAUUUAUUGAUGUGCCAUAUAACAGGAAGCCACUUCUUGUUUGUAAUUGACAGUGGUAUUCAUUGCCAACUGAUAAUUUAACUUCGGAUUAUAUU
rnacentral:misc_RNA from 1 species